GACGUACACUCCCUGCACCACAUCAAAACGCAACGAAUUUCGCAGAGGCUACCACACAGCUAGUGAGACUUCAUUGGGAGUUUUGCAUUCACACAAGUGGCGAUGUACGAGUGUGGGUGUGCUUGCACCUAAGUAUUGUAAAGGCCCGUCCAAAUGAUCGAGCACUGACCGCGUGCACAAGCGAGCAGUUUGCGUUUACAAGUUUACCGCUUGUACACUAAAACACUGGCAAAGUCGCUCCUUCCUGGUGCUGCCGAGAUGAAGCCUGAUGUACGACGUGGCUGCUCCAUCCAUCCAUCCAAUCCACCCUACACCUCCAACACCCAGCCGUCACCACAGCACUGCCCCCAGGACACCACCAUCAUCAUCACCACCACCACCACCACCACUACUGAUAUAGGGUGGUAGGGAUGACACACACCACUGCUACUGCCAGGGAUGAAGCAAGACGCCGCCUUCCUGAGCUAUCAGUAGUGGUGAUGAAUGACACCAUCUUGAGGAACCCCAGAAUACCACCACCACCACUGCUGCUGCUGCUGCUGUUGUAGAGGAACCCCAGAAUACCACCACCACUGCUGCUGCUGUUGUAGAAACGAGACCUCGCUGAGCUGUGGUGGUCGUUCCUGUGUGUGUGUGUGUGUGUGUGUGUGGGGACGGCCUUCAUUCAAGAUGCUGCUGGGGUGUGGAUGAUGACACAGGCACACCACCACCACCACGACUACUGCGGGGGAUGGAAGGAGUAACCAGUCACUCGUCUCUCCCCUGCCUGCAUGGUGGGGGAAAGACCUCACAAGACUGAUGCUCCUGGCCUGUCUCUGAUAGGUGGUAAGUUGCCUGCCACACUUGCCUCAACACAAGCACAAGGGAGACAGGCUUGGUGAUGCUGCUGUGAGCUGUUAAAGAAUUCUGAGGACUCUCUCAAACGUUGUAUUGUUUUUGUUUGAAAAAAAAAUUUCACAAUAAGUUGUUGUAAUCCUCCAGAGACUCUUUGAGGUAACAGUAGCCGUGGUCUUUCUCCGGAGACUCUUUGAGGUAACAGUAGCCGUGGUUUUUCUCCGGAGACUCUUUGAGGUAACAGUAGCCGUGGUCUUUCUCCGGAGACUCUUUGAGGUAACAGUAGCCGUGGUCUUUCUCCGGAGACUCUUUGAGGUAACAGUAGCCGUGGUCUUUCUCCGGAGACUCUUUGAGGUAACAGUAGCUGUGGUCUUUCUCCGCAGACUCUUUGAGGUAACAGUAGCCGUGGUCUUUCUCCGGAGACUCUUUGAGGUAACAGUAGCCGUGGUCUUUCUCCGGAGACUCUUUGAGGUAACAGUAGCCGUGGUCUUUCUCCGGAGACUGAGGUAUCAGUGGCUGGGGUAUUCCCUGGAGACUCCUUGAGGUAUCACUGACUUAGGGCUGGCUGGUGAUAAUUCAGUCCUGGAAUACUGGGGAACUUGGAGCUGGAGGCUGCCGGGUGAAGAAUAAUAAUUGCCAGAAUACAGUAGUACAAUUAUCUGUGGAAUACAGAAGCAGGAGGCUGGGGUCAUGGUACCAGGAUGGAUAAAACUGAACAUUGCUGAAAAAUAUACACACUGGCAGCAGCAAGGGUAACCUAAAUAGUGGUGAUCCAAGUGAUACAUGUACCCUUAUUUAUACAUAGCAGGGCCAAGUUAAGCUGUUAUAAAACCCAAUUCCAAAACCCCAAAAAUUAAACAAAAAAAAAACCAUCCAAUAUUGUCUAAACCUACCCAAAGAAAAGAAUAAGAAUUAGAGAUUCUGACAGAGAUCCUGACUAACACUGCAGCCUCCCUCAUUCCCUCCCCAAACACAGGGGGCAAUACAGACCCAUAGAGGACCACAGAUCCUGCCACUGCCACCAAGCAUGACAGGUGUCCUAAAGUGACAGCCAGGAGACAGACAGGUGCACCAGGACAGCUUCAAGUCAUGGCUGUGUCCAACACGCACAAACAUUCUGAAACAAAAGGAUUCAUCAAUACACCUACACAACACAUCUACACCUUCAAGACUGUCAGGGUUAGCAUGGUACACCUGCACCAACACGUCUACACCUUCAAGAUGGUGUAGGUGUACUGUCAGGGUUAGCAUAGUUCACCUACACCAACACAUCUUCACCUUCAAGCAUUCAUCAAUACACCUACACAACACACCUUCACGACUGUCAGGAUUGUCCUAUGCAGAACCCUGACAGAGUUCUGCUGAAAGCAUCUCUCUCCCACUUAUCAUACUCAUGCUCACACAGGUUACAGUCAAAGUUGGCCUCUGCCACCACACCUGCGCCUCGCCACACCUGAUGCAAAUUGCUGCUAGCCAUUCAAGCUGCUGACCAACCUCUCAGCCUCCACUGCAGCACACACCUGUCCUGCAGGGCCCCUCAAGGAAGCUGGCUGGGGUGUUCAGUGUCAAGCAGGGCGGCGGCCUGGACUGUCUUAUGUCCAGCUCGUGGAGUAGGGAGGGACGGGUCGGCCAGGAAGCCUUCAGGAAGGGAAGAUCGAGUGGGAGGUGACCGAGGCACCAGGAGCAGCCGACAGACAGCCACCAGCGCACAGUUCAGCUCUGCCUCCACACUGCCCCUGUGCCCUGCCUGGCGUGCUGUGUCAGGCACCACAUCUGCAGGUGGAUCGUGUGCGUCAGUGAGGGGCGUGGAUGGUGGAUGUGAUCAGCGCUAGGAAAACAAAGAUAAUUUUGUGAGGAAAGUAGGGUGUCCUAAAAUGCACAUGAAUGGAGUGAUGGCAACUGAGGCAGCAGCAGCAGACACAGAGGCAGAGGUGCCACAGGCCUCACCAGAGAGGUGCUGAGACAGAGUAACCAGAAGUUGUGCCUCACAGGAGUGAGGAGGACAGUGACAUGUUGUCUUAUGUUUGGUGUGACAGGUGAGUGUGGUGCACAAAGGUUGACUCAAGUACUGAUGGCGAUGGAUGCGGUGGUGGUGGUGGUGGUGGUGGUGUGUUUUUAUUACUGAACAUUAACUGCACUGACUGGAUAUCUGAUGUGCCGCUCAAUCUGACUCUGUUCCUGCACAACAGCUGCAUCACUUACUGAAGGAAGUCACACCAAGUAUCUGUGGCCACCAGAUGAAUGCCAACAACAAUUUUCAUGCCCAGCUUGUAACAAAUGUAAAUAGUAUUAGCUGAUUAAAGUUUGAAAAUG